ensembl:snRNA U6 U6 spliceosomal RNA
GAAAUGAGUACCUGUCACAUACUGAAACUGGAACAAUUCAGAGAUGAUUAGCACAGCCUCAUAGGAGGAUGGCAUGUAAACUCAUGAGGCAUCCUGUAUUUUA